CCCCAUCAAAUACAAAAGAAACACACUCAUGGUCUCUGAUAGAGGAAUGUCAAUAGGGUGAAGCUUUAAAAGAAUCCUGUAAUAAUGGAUCGUGUUUUUUUUGUCUGACAUUUUGAAUGAAAACACUGACUCACAGCUGAGGUGCUGAAAGAGUGUCUCCGUUUCAUGACAUUAGUUCCCGUCUUUGUUUGGAAUAAAUUCCUACUUUGAGUCUUGGCCUUCGUUCUAAUAUCCCAAACUACUGCACAUGGGAAUGCGUGAAACGUACUCCUCAGAUUGAAGUGUCGUCACGACGCUCUGACGGAAUUUUUGUAACUUGACUGGAGGGCAGUCACGUGUGCUAGCAGAGCAGAGGUCCUGGGUUUGAGCUUCGGGAGGGCAGUCACGUGUGCUAGCAGAGCAGAGGUCCUGGGUUUGAGCUUCGGGAGGGCAGUCACGUGUGCUAGCAGAGCAGAGGUCCUGGGUUUGAGCUUCGGGAGGGCAGUCACGUGUGCUAGCAGAGCAGAGGUCCUGGGUUUGAGCUUCGGGAGGGCAGUCACGUGUGCUAGCAGAGCAGAGGUCCUGGGUUUGAGCUUCGGGAGGGCAGUCACGUGUGCUAGCAGAGCAGAGGUCCUGGGUUUGAGCUUCGGGAGGGCAGUCACGUGUGCUAGCAGAGCAGAGGUCCUGGGUUUGAGCUUCGGGAGGGCAGUCACGUGUGCUAGCAGAGCAGAGGUCCUGGGUUUGAGCUUCGGGAGGGCAGUCACGUGUGCUAGCAGAGCAGAGGUCCUGGGUUUGAGCUUCGGGAGGGCAGUCACGUGUGCUAGCAGAGCAGAGGUCCUGGGUUUGAGCAUCGAUGUGAGUCGAAUCAGGAGGAAGCGCUAAACGCUAAGCAAGUUGAUGUCCGUUACUCUAGCAUACCACUUAUAACGACCAAUACAUUACCGUCAGUCGAAAUAGUAUGCUUGUGUAUUGGAAUAAAACCCGAAAGACGCUCAAA